rfam:Echinostoma caproni strain Egypt genome assembly, scaffold: ECPE_scaffold0008987
GCACUGCUGAUGAGCCCCAAACAGGACGAAACAGCUGUCCUGUGC